rnacentral:rRNA from 1 species
UACGUAGGGGGCGAGCGUUGUCCGGAGUACUGGGCGUAAGCGCAACGCAGGCGGUCUGUUAAGUUUGGAGUGACAGUUGGUGGCUCAACCACCCAAGUGCUUUGAAAACUGACUAGACUUUGAAGGGCUUCAGAGGGACACGGAAUUCCGGGUGGAGGUGGUGAAAUAGCGGUAGAGGAUACCGGAGGAACACCAAAGGC